rnacentral:rRNA from 1 species
UGAGCGAACUUGUCCGCGUAGUAACUGGAAGUGGUUCCAAGAAAAGCCUCUAAGCUUCAGCCAUACAAGACCGUACCGCAAACCGACACAGGUGGACGGGAUGAAUAUUCCAAGGCGCUUGAGAGAACUCAGGAGAAGGAACUCGGCAAAUUGAUACCGUAACUUCGGGAGAAGGUAAGCCUCGGUAGUGUGAAGGGCUCGCGCCCGGAGCAUGAUGAGGCCGCAGAGAAUCGGUGGCUGCGACUGUUUAUUAAAAACACAGCACUCUGCUAAGACGAAAGUCGACGUAUAGGGUGUGACGCCUGCCCGGUGCCGGAAGGUUAAUUGAUGGGGUGCAAGCUCUUGAUCGAAGCCCCGGUAAACGGCGGCCGUAACUAUAACGGUCCUAAGGUAGCGAAAUUCCUUGUCGGGUAAGUUCCGACCUGCACGAAUGGCGUAACGAUGGCCACACUGUCUCCUCCUGAGACUCAGCGAAGUUGAAGUGUUUGUGAUGAUGCAAUCUACCCGCGGCUAGACGGAAAGACCCCAUGAACCUUUACUGUAGCUUUGCAUUGGACUGUGAACCGGCCUGUGUAGGAUAGGUGGGAGACGUUGAAGCGUGGUCGCUAGAUCGCGUGGAGUCAACCUUGAAAUACCACCCUGGUUUGUUUGCGGUUCUAACCUUGGCCCGUUAUCCGGGUCGGGGACAGUGCAUGGUGGGCAGUUUGACUGGGGCGGUCUCCUCCCAAAGUGUAACGGAGGAGUUCGAAGGUACGCUAGGUACGGUCGGAAAUCGUGCUGAUAGUGCAAUGGCAUAAGCGUGCUUGACUGUGAGACUGACAAGUCUAACAGGUGCGAAAGCAGGACAUAGUGAUCCGGUGGUUCUGUAUGGAAGGGCCAUCGCUCAACGGAUAAAAGGUACUCUGGGGAUAACAGGCUGAUACCGCCCAAGAGUUCAUAUCAACGGCGGUGUUUGGCACCUCGAUGUCGGCUCAUCUCAUCCUGGGGCUGUAGCCGGUCCCAAGGGUAUGGCUGUUCGCCAUUUAAAGAGGUACGUGAGCUGGGUUUAAAACGUCGUGAGACAGUUUGGUCCCUAUCUGCCGUGGGCGUUGGAUACUUGACGGAGCCUGCUCCUAGUACGAGAGGACCGGAGUGGACGUACCUCUGGUGUACCGGUUGUCAUGCCAAUGGCAUUGCCGGGUAGCUAUGUACGGAAGAGAUAACCGCUGAAGGCAUCUAAGCGGGAAACUCGUCUGAAGAUUAGGUAUCCCGGGGCCUAGAGCCCCCUGAAGGGUCGUUCAAGACCAGGACGUUGAUAGGUCAGGUGUGGAAGCGCAGUAAUGCGUUAAGCUAACUGAUACUAAUUGCCCGUGCGGCUUGAUAAG